UACGUAGGGUGCUAGCGUUGUCCGGAAUCAUUGGGCGUAAAGAGCGCGUAGGCGGCCAGAUAAGUCCGGUGUGAAAGUCAAAGGCUCAACCUUUGAAUGCCGCUGGAAACUGUCUGGCUAGAGUCCGGGAGGGGCGAGUGGAAUUCCUGGUGUAGCGGUGAAAUGCGCAGAUAUCAGAAGGAACACCAAUGGCGAAGGCAGCUCGCUGGAACGGUACUGACGCUGAGGCACGAAAGCGUGGGGAGCAAACAGG
rnacentral:rRNA from 1 species